rnacentral:rRNA from 1 species
UACGUAGGGGGCAAGCGUUGUCCGGAAUCAUUGGGCGUAAAGAGCGUGUAGGCGGUCCGAUAAGUCGGUUGUGAAAGUCAAGGGCUCAACCCUUGAAUGCCGACCGAUACUGUCGGGCUAGAGUCCGGAAGAGGUGAGUGGAAUUCCUGGUGUGAGCGGUGAAAUGAUGCAGAGUAUCAGGAGGAACACCGGUGGCGAAGGCGGGUCUCUGGGCCGAUACUGACGCUGAGGAGCGAAAGCGUGGGGAGCGAACAGG